rnacentral:rRNA from 1 species
UACGGGGGGGGCAAGCGUUGUUCGGAAUUACUGGGCGUAAAGGGCUCGUAGGCGGCCUACUAAGUCAGGCGUGAAAUCCCUCGGCUUAACCGGGGAACUGCGUCUGAUACUGGAUGGCUUGAGAUUGGGAGAGGGAUGCGGAAUUCCAGGUGUAGCGGUGAAAUGCGUAGAUAUCAGGAGGAACACCGGUGGCGAAGGCGGUUCUCUGGGCAUGUCCUGACGCUGAGGAGCGAAAGUGUGGGGAGCGAACAGG